CAGGAUCCUGCCUUAAGUGUUUGUAAAGACACUGGUUACAAGGAAGCCAGAAGUUGGGCAUGAGCCCCUUACAGCACAGGAGUUCUGAAGGCUGCAGAAUGCUCCCAUAAGACACUGUGUCCAGGAACCACCCUCAGUUCCGCGAUGCGAGCUGGUGGUGCACACCUGUCAUCCCAACACUCCAGAGGCCCGAAGACGAAGAUCGGGUGUUUAGACAGCCUGGACUAUAUGAGACGCUGUGUGAAAACCAAAUGGAAAGAAAAAGUAAAGAAGCCACUGUGGACAAGCUCACUGUCGCCGGUGACUCCAACGGCCUGAUGCAGUAGUUCAGUCUCGUUGAAGAGAAACCUUGUGGGCUACUGAACAGGUGCAGGCUCUUGCCGCCAAUCCUGACGACCUGAGUUCGAUCUCGGAGACAAGCAGUACCAUCACAGACAAAGAUAAAUAAUGAAAAAUAAAAGCUAUGCAAGUGCUGGAGCCAACUCUCUUAGUUUUGUUUUUAGAGACACAAAAUAAAAUUUUAAAAAGACCUUCACAUUA